CCGCGCCCGUCCCGCCGCCCCCGCCCGGGCACAAGCGGUGGAGCAUGUGGUUUAAUUCGAUGCAACGCGAAGAACCUUACCUACUCUUGACAUCCACGGAAUUCGCCAGAGAUGGCUUAGUGCCUUCGGGAACCGUGAGACAGGUGCUGCAUGGCUGUCGUCAGCUCGUGUUGUGAAAUGUUGGGUUAAGUCCCGCAACGAGCGCAACCCUUAUCCUUUGUUGCCAGCACGUAAUGGUGGGAACUCAAAGGAGACUGCCGGUGAUAAACCGGAGGAAGGUGGGGAUGACGUCAAGUCAUCAUGGCCCUUACGAGUAGGGCUACACACGUGCUACAAUGGCAUAUACAAAGAGAAGCGAACUCGCGAGAGCAAGCGGACCUCAUAAAGUAUGUCGUAGUCCGGAUUGGAGUCUGCAACUCGACUCCAU
rnacentral:rRNA from 1 species